rnacentral:rRNA from 1 species
UACGGGGGGGGCAAGCGUUGUUCGGAAUUACUGGGCGUAAAGGGCGCGUAGGCGGCCCGCUAAGUCAGACGUGAAAUCCCUCGGCUCAACCGGGGAACUGCGUCUGAUACUGGCAGGCUUGAAUCCGGGAGAGGGAUGUGGAAUUCCAGGUGUAGCGGUGAAAUGCGUAGAUAUCUGGAGGAACACCGGUGGCGAAGGCGGCAUCCUGGACCGGUAUUGACGCUGAGGCGCGAAAGCCAGGGGAGCAAAGCGGG